rnacentral:rRNA from 1 species
CGUAGGGACCGAGCGUUGUCCGGAUUCAUUGGGCGUAAAGAGCUCGUAGGCGGCCACUCAAGUCAAAUGUGAAACCUCGAGGCUUAACCUCGAGCCUGCAUUCGAUACUGGGCGGCUAGAGUCUGGUAGGGGGAUCUGGAAUUCCUGGUGUAGCGGUGGAAUGCGCAGAUAUCAGGAGGAACACCGGUGGCGAAGGCGGGAUCCUGGGCCAGUACUGACGCUGAGGAGCGAAAGCGUGGGGAGCAAACAGGAUUAGAUACCCUGGUAGUCCACGCCGUAAACGAUGGGCGCUAGGUGUGGGAGGGCAUCGACUCCUUCCGUGCCGCAGCUAACGCAUUAAGCGCCCCGCCUGGGGAGUACGGCCGCAAGGCUA